rnacentral:rRNA from 1 species
UACGGGGGGGGCAAGCGGUUGUUCGGAAUUACUGGGCGUAAAGGGUUGUAGGGUGGCCAACUAAGUCAGACGUGAAAUCCCUCAGCUUAACUGGGGAACUGCGUCUGAUACUGGUUGGCUUGAGUGCAGGAGAGGAAUGCGGAAUUCCAGGUGUAGCGGUGAAAUGCGUAGAUAUCUGGAGGAACACCGGUGGCGAAGGCGACCUUGUGACUG